rnacentral:tRNA from 1 species
AGAAUUGCAUUUUGGUUUAGGGGUUUGUAACUCUGUUAUGUUUUAUUACCAGUUCUU